AAUCCCUCCCACCCCCAUCCAACUCCUGCACCACCUCUGCCCGAUUCCCCACGACCACCUCCCAUCACUGGCUCCGAUCUGACGCGGCUCCCGCUGCCAGCCCCCUGGCACCGGCGUUGCUCCCGCCGCCGGCCGAUGCACGUCCCGCCGACGCCCCCCGACCUAGCUACCGCCGCCGCCUACCACAAAGGCCACCAUGGCCGCCACUCCCCCGUCGGCCUCGCGUAGCCCCACCCCACCAGCCUCGCGCCGCCCCUCCCCGCUGGCCCCGCGCGUCGCCUGGAUCGCCUCGCCACCGGACGCCCACGCCGCCGUCCUCCGCCACGGCCGUGCUCCUCCCGGUGAUGUGCGUCACCAGCGCCAGGAUCCCCACCUUCUCCCACAUGUCGCGCGCCCCUCCCCACCGGCCUCGCUUCCGCACACGGCCACUGCCUGACCCACCCGCGAAGGCCACCAGUCACCCAUUGCUCCGGUCGCCGCCCAAAAAUCCAGAUGCAGUUCAGGGACUUUUGCUGCUGCAGGUCGCACCGCUCUACCCACCAGCAUCACAGCCGUGAAGGUCGCCUCUUCCCCUGCCCUUGCUCUGCAUCUAGUAGGCCAAAAUUAUACAUCUGUAUUUCCAAGCAUUGCACCGUGAGGCUCAAGUUCCGCAGAAGUUCACGUACAGUAGAGCGUUGUCUCUAUUUUGACAGCAAGAUUAAUUAGAUCGGUGUCUUUCAGUUAUAAUGCUAAUACAAAAAUGCGUCCACUUCCUGAAUAUGCAUCUUCCUUUGCUUUAAUCUUCCCCGAUCCUUGUUUGAUUUGAGAUUUUAACACCAAACUAGAGAAGCAAAAGUCAUAGUUUGAAACUGAAUUGUCCCAUGAGCCAUGAAGUCUUAAGAUUGUUAGUUGACCUCCAACAUGGACCGUGCACCCUUCCCCCUUAAGCAUGUAUAUUCCUUAUUUAACAAGCACAGAUUGGAGCUCAUUUGCGAACUGAUCAUCAAAAUUACAACCUAGUUUCUCAUCAAACAAUCAAUGUCUGGGCAGGUUAGUCGGGAUUACAUACUAAUGCAAAAGAAAAUACUGUUUUAAUUGCUGCCACGGGAAAUCGUUGUGCAAGUAAUUGUCACAAGAGAUUUGAAGAGCAUAGUUUCUCUAUUUGCAUGAUCUUACUUAGAUGUGGACCUGGAGAUAGAUAGCCUCAGGCACGAACUUGGAGAAUGCCUUAACUUAAAUAAACAUGAUUAGUGAGUUGGACGAUCUUACUUUUCAUCUGGAUUUUAAUCAGUGGUGUCGAUGCUGCCAGUGUGCCGAUGCGGCCCCUGCACCGUCCAAUAGCGACCGUCGCGCAGUCCAACCUCGCCUGCGCGUGCAGUGCCUCGUCAUCCACUCGCUCGCGUAGAUCCUUUGCGGGACGCCGGCUGCGUGCUACUCGGCACUUCCCGCAGCUCCUCUCACUGCUAACUAUAGUCUGGAAUGCGUCUGCAUGAGCUCCAUGACGGGCUAUAUAUGGAGGCUACGGAACAACUAGAUUUUGACUUAUUUUAAUUUGUGAAUUUCUACUACUGCCGAUAGAGAGGAGACCAACAAUGGUAUUUUUCUCUGAACUUUCAUCUAUAUGUGUUGAGAUUAUGUCUUCAGGCCAUGGCUAUUAAUUCUCCCUGAACUUUUUUGUGCACCUGGUCAUUUUCAGGCUACAGCUAUUUUCUCUCUGAACACUUCUAGGGGCUAAAAAAGGCAGGGUGAUGUAGAAGUGGCGAAGCAGCCAUCAGUGAGGAGCAAUGGCACUGUUGGAUGAACUUCACAUGUCAAUGCCUCAGCGAAAAUGGCUUUGUGUAGUUUUGUAUUUUAGUGCAAGCACUCUCAACUCCUUGAAACCGCCCGACACCCAGCUGAUGUGUGUCGGCUUCGCCAGAUGCGUCUGUUCAGCUGCAAAAAAACGAGCAUUAUAUACUGUUGUCAAGUUUGCUCACUUGUUGGAAUGAAAAAACGACCGAAGGACAAAAGAAACUGUUCGAGAAGGUCAAAAGUAUGUUUAUAUUUUCUGGAACACCGACACUCUCUUGACAUCAUUGGUUAUCGAAUAAGUGUUGUCCAUCGUUUUCAUCAAUGCCUUAAUUGAUGAAAAGAAUGCUGCUGCUCGCUUCCAGUGCUAUGUGUGUGUUAGAACAUCUCUGUGUCUCACCUAUCUUAGCUGUUCUCCUACUCUCUAAGGUACUAUCUUAAGCUUGUACAACAUGUUAGAACAAAUGAAAAUGUACUAAUCUGAAGUUCAGGGAUGAUAAAGAAAGAAGACAUGGGAUCUAGGAUCUUGUGAUUUUCCAUGAGGUGUUGCAGCAAAAACUCUGCUUUGAUUUGGAAGUUGUGAAGUAUCAGACUAGAACAUUUUUAUCUCAAUCAUGCAUAUAGUAAGUUGCAAAGCUUCUCUGAACAUUUCUUUGCUAUGUGCAGACUCGGACGACCUCCCCGCACCAUCCUUCUCCCGUUGCGACCACCCCUUCUGCCACGUCUCCCACGACCACUGCUGGUGCUACCUCCCGGCCAUAUGAAAUGGGGUUGCUGCAGUCCGCAUUGUGCUACACCAGUAGGACGGCUCCUUAAGAUCGUGCCACUCGUCCUUCUUCCAUCGACCAUGGUCGCCAUCACCGUCAGUAAAGAUGUACUCCAUGAUCAAUGUGUUUGCUGGGCGCGCUUGAUGCAUACGAGCGCCUCACACUGCGCUCCAGGGAAGUAGCGGGGGGCAGGAACUGGCUGCACACUCGCUGCUUUUGGCAUGGCCCAGUGGUGGUUCGCCAGGCGGCAGGUCAUGUUUAUGUGAGCUAGAAGUAAGAGUGUGAAGCGUUACAUAGGUUGCUUUGCUCAUGGGUUUGAGUGAACGAAAUAUACAUGCAUGGGAAAUGUUAAUGUGCCUUAUUAGUGAGUAUGUUGGUUGUGUCACCGUGUCAUCUAGGACAACUAGUAACACCACUGAUUUUGGAAAAUGUAAAUUAAAAUGUUAACGUUCAGUUACGACAGACUAGAAAUAUAUAUUAUGUUGGUCUUUUUA